UACAGAGGUGCCGAGCGUUAGGCGGAAUCACUGGGCUUAAAGCGUGUGUAGGCGGAUGCCUAAGUACCUUGUGAAAUCCCACGGCUUAACCGUGGAACUGCUUGGUAUACUGGGUGUCUUGAGCCACUUAGGGGCUACCGGAACAAAUGGUGGAGCGGUGAAAUGCGUAGAUAUCAUUUGGAACGCCAACGGUGAAAACAGGUAGCUGGGAGUGUGCUGACGCUGAGACGAAAGCCGGGUGGGCGAAACAGGGAUUAGAACCGUAC
rnacentral:rRNA from 1 species